GCCCGAGUGGUGGAAUGGCAGACACAAAGGACUUAAAAUCCUUCGGCUGGAAACGGCUGUACCGGUUCGAGUCCGGUCUCGGGCA
rnacentral:tRNA from 1 species